UUGUGAUGCAUGUGAACUCUCCUGCAGCUUAAUUUUCUCAAAAAGAUACUGCUUCUCAGCUUCUGCUUCACUUAAACGAAGUUUGAGGUAGCUGCUGGCAUAUUCUUCUUCUGAUUUGUCAGUCUUAGCCAGAGCAAUCCUCUGCAGCCGCUCAGCCUCUCGUUUUGCCUCAUUGGCCUUGAGCUGGAACAUAUCAGCCUCUGC
rnacentral:misc_RNA from 1 species